AUUGAACGCUGGCGGCAGGCCUAACACAUGCAAGUCGAGCGGAUGAAGGGAGCUUGCUCCUGGAUUCAGCGGCGGACGGGUGAGUAAUGCCUAGGAAUCUGCCUGGGAGUGGGGGAUAACGUCCGGAAACGGGCGCUAAUACCGCAUACGUCCUGAGGGAGAAAGUUGGGGAUCUUCGUACCACGCGCUAUCAGAUGAGCCUAGGUCGGAUUAGCUAGUUGGUGGGGUAAAGGCCUACCAAGGCGACGAUCCGUAACUGGUCUGAGAGGAUGAUCAGUCACACUGGAACUGAGACACGGUCCAGACUCCUACGGGAGGCAGCAGUGGGGAAUAUUGGACCAUGGGCGAAAGCCUGAUCCAGACAUGCCGCGUGUGUGAAGAAGGUCUUCGGAUUGUAAAGCACUUUAAGUUGGGAGGAAGGGCAGUAAGUUAAUACCUUGCUGUUUUGACGUUACCAACAGAAUAAGCACCGGCUAACUUCGUG
rnacentral:rRNA from 1 species